rnacentral:rRNA from 1 species
UACGAAGGGUCCAAGCGUUGUUCGGAAUCAUUGGGCGUAAAGCGCGCGCAGGCGGAUCAGCAAGUCAGAUAGUGAAAUCUCGGGGCUCAACUCCGAAACUGCGUCUGAAACUGCUAGUCUAGAAUGAGUCGGGAGGGGGCAGGGGGAAUUUCGAACGUGUAGGGGUAAAAUCCGUAGAGAUGGUGAAGGAACGACCGGGGGCGAAGCGCCUGCCUGGACGGACUAUUGACGCUGAGGCGACGAAAGGCGUGGGGAGCAAACAGG